CUGGACUGGAUCCGCCUCGUGUAGUACUUCCCACUGUUCCGCGGUUGUUAUGGGAACAGCUGACCCAUAUGGUGUGGCCACUAUAUUUUGGUAGUGAUGGGCGGCGGCUGCUCUCGGUGGUGGUGGUGGUGGGCCGGGACGAAUCCAGGUAGAACGAUCCCUCAGCUGGGGACAUUCCCUUUUAUAAUGUCCCCACUUCUGGCAGUGAUGACAGGGGCCAGAAGCGGGCUGGCGAAACCGGGGCUGUACAGCGGGUGGUGGUGGUGGUAGUUGCCUCGGUGGAGCUGGGUUGUAGCUGUUUCCCCCAAAGGUUUUAAAAAUAGCUUUUGGGGCUGCUGGUUUCUGC